GUGUCAGCCGCCGCGGUAAGACAGAGGGUGCAAACGUUGUUCGGAAUCACUGGGCAUAAAGCGCACGUAGGCGGCCAACUAAGUCAGGUGUGAAAUCCCCCGGCUCAACCGGGGAACUGCAUUUGAUACUGGUUGGCUCGAGGUUGGUAGGGGUGGAUGGAACUCCAGGUGGAGCGGUGAAAUGCGUAGAUAUCUGGAGGAACACCGGAGGCGAAAGCGGUCCACUGGGCCAAAUCUGACGCUGAGGUGCGAAAGCUAGGGUAGCAAACGGGAUUAGAAACCCUUGUAGUCC
rnacentral:rRNA from 1 species